rfam:Ovis aries breed Texel chromosome 17, whole genome shotgun sequence.
UACCUGGUGGCUCAGAUGGUAAAGCAUCUGCCUGCAAUGUAGGAGACCCAGGUUUGAUCCCUGGGUUGGUAA